GAUGAACGCUGGCGGCGUGCCUAAUACAUGCAAGUCGAGCGGACGGACGAGAAGCUUGCUUCUCUGAUGUUAGCGGCGGACGGGUGAGUAACACGUGGAUAACCUACCUAUAAGACUGGGAUAACUUCGGGAAACCGGAGCUAAUACCGGAUAAUAUUUUGAACCGCAUGGUUCAAUAGUGAAAGACGGUCUCGCUGUCACUUAUAGAUGGAUCCGCGCUGCAUUAGCUAGUUGGUAAGGUAACGGCUUACCAAGGCAACGAUGCAUAGCCGACCUGAGAGGGUGAUCGGCCACACUGGAACUGAGACACGGUCCAGACUCCUACGGGAGGCAGCAGUAGGGAAUCUUCCGCAAUGGGCGAAAGCCUGACGGAGCAACGCCGCGUGAGUGAUGAAGGUCUUCGGAUCGUAAAACUCUGUUAUUAGGGAAGAACAUAUGUGUAAGUAACUGUGCACAUCUUGACGGUACCUAAUCAGAAAGCCACGGCUAACUACGUG
rnacentral:rRNA from 1 species